AUCCAGUUGAGGAGUCCCGAAUAAGACGAAGCGUGCGUCCUGGAU
rfam:Schistosoma haematobium scaffold670_4, whole genome shotgun sequence.